rnacentral:rRNA from 1 species
UACGGAGGGGGCUAGCGUUGUUCGGAAUUACUGGGCGUAAAGCGUACGUAGGCGGCUUUGUAAGUUAGAGGUGAAAGCCCGGGGCUCAACCCCGGAAUUGCCUUUAAGACUGCAUCGCUUGAAUCGCGGAGAGGUGAGUGGAAUUCCGAGUGUAGAGGUGAAAUUCGUAGAUAUUCGGAGGAACACCAGUGGCGAAGGCGACUACCUGGCCUGUUCUUGACGCUGAGGCGCGAAAGCUAGGGGAGCAAACGGG